CCUGUCUCUGGCUGCUUGGGCCUGCUGGCAGGGGAGGGCGGAGGAGGUGUGAGGAGGCUGGGGCAGCUAUGGAGGCUACUGGGCCUGCUGUAGGUAGGCCCUGAAAAGUGCUGUGUUCUGAUUUCUAUCUGCCUGGGGGCUGAAGGAGGCUGGAGUGUAAACACCCUGCUGGAACCUUCUAAACCUUGGAGCAGGAACGACUUGACAGCCGAGCCCUGGUGUAUCUGGGGCCUUCGCCACACUUCGCCACAGUGUGAUUGACAAGGCCAGAACCCUGUUCCUCAACAGUCCAGCCAAGUCUGCAGGGCCCUGGAGGAAGAGACCAGGCACGGAGGCCAUCCAGGAAAGUUGCCAGCUGAAGAGUUUACGACUGCCCUGUCAGGUGAGAGGUACCCACAGUCCUCUGUACACGUGGUGCCACUCGGGAAAUCAGUACAUCAACUUCUCCUACCAUGAUACCCCGGAAAUACAAGGGCAUCGUGGCAAAAAUCCCUUAUGGAUGUGAAAGCGUGCCAACUUAACAUCAUUGGCAUAUGCGACAUACGAUGUGAAGCUUGACAAAUGUGGAAGGAUUUUGCAAGGAGCUCCGGAAAAACCUGUAUUUCAGAUCAUAUCUUUCUUUUAAAAACAGAUUUGCAUAGACCAGUUAGGAAUACAGCAAUAAUUGAGUUCCUAAAGGCCAAAAGACAUGUUUUGUAUGAGCUAAGAUGGAUAUUUAUGAAAAAUACUGCAAAUAAGCUUUCAAAAGACAAAAUCGUCUUAGACUUUUGGAGCUGGCCUUUCAGGAAGGAACGAGCAGAGCUGGGCC
ensembl:lncRNA